GAUGAACGCUGCCAGAAUGCUUAACACAUGCAAGUCAACUGUGGCUGACGGGUGAGUAACGCGUAAAGAACUUGCCUCACAGCUAGGGACCUCAUUUGGAAACGAAUGCUAAUACCUGAUACUGUGAGAGAGCUGUGCGUCCCAUUCGCUAGUUGGAGAGGUAACGGCUCACCAAGGCGAUGAUGGGUAGCCGGCCUGAGAGGGUGAUCGGCCACAAGGUGACACGGACACCGCCCUUACGCCAUCGGGAGGAAGGAGUGGAGAAUAUAGGACAAUAGACCAAAGUGUGAACAAGGAAUUCUGGGUGCAAGAUGAAGUUUUCGGAAGGAAGAGUGCUUUCAGUUUAGAAGCGGUACCCACAGAAGAAGUAACGGCUAAAUACGUGCCAGCAGCCGCGGUAAUAC
rnacentral:rRNA from 1 species